GAUGAACGCUGGCGGCGUGCCUAAUACAUGCAAGUCGAGCGAACAGAUGAGGAGCUUGCUCCUCUGACGUUAGCGGCGGACGGGUGAGUAACACGUGGAUAACCUACCUAUAAGACUGGGAUAACUUCGGGAAACCGGAGCUAAUACCGGAUAAUAUAUUGAACCGCAUGGUUCAAUAGUGAAAGACGGUUUUGCUGUCACUUAUAGAUGGAUCCGCGCCGCAUUAGCUAGUUGGUAAGGUAACGGCUUACCAAGGCAACGAUGCGUAGCCGACCUGAGAGGGGGAUCGGCCACACUGGAACUGAGACACGGUCCAGACUCCUACGGGAGGCAGCAGUAGGGAAUCUUCCGCAAUGGGCGAAAGCCUGACGGAGCAACGCCGCGUGAGUGAUGAAGGUCUUCGGAUCGUAAAACUCUGUUAUUAGGGAAAAACAAAUGUGUAAGUAACUAUGCACGUCUUGACGGUACCUAAUCAGAAAGCCACGGCUAACUACGUG
rnacentral:rRNA from 1 species